UAUUAACGCCCACGACAUGUAAAACGCCACGCCCAUCUUGAAUACAGAACCACGCCCAUGGUUAAACGCCCACGCUAUAUUUACUUCCUGGAAACUAUAUUUUUAAGCCGACAGAGCAGCUAAUCUACGUCUCCCGUUAUGGUACAUCCAACAUUUGUCAAGGCUGCUCCUGACCCUUCACAUUUUUGCAAGGGUGGUGUCUUUAAAUGCCAGUGCUGCAGUUAUGACACUGACCAGCAAUUUAAAUUCAGGAUAUAUCAACAAAACCACAUCAAGCAGUGGAGCAUGACAGGAUAGUGCAGGUGCUCCUCACUGUCAUUGAGGACUCCUAGAGGCACCUAGAGUGUUGCACAGUUUUGGAGCAUACACAGAAAAAGCACAAUCUCCUUUACGUUUCCGCCUCGUCCUAGGGACAACUAAAAGCCCCUGACUAGCUGACCUCAGUACCCUGGCACAAGAAUAUGGCACUAAAAGCUCUGAAAUAUAUUUUGGUCCAUCACCGUGCACAGCCUGAUAUGUUAAAACCAAAAUUUUAAAAUGAAUCCUAAAAGCAACGGGGAGCCGAUGUAAAGAUGCCAGCACAGGAGUAAUAUGCUCCCUUCGUUUAGUCCCAGUCAGAACCCUAGCAGCUGCAUUUUGGACCAACUGCAGCCGAGUCAUUUCCCUCUGGGUAAGACAUGUAAAUAGCACGUUAAAAUAAUCAAGGCGAGACGAUACAAAAGCAUGGAUAAUCUUCUCUGUGGCCUAAAAGGAAAGCAUUUUUCUGAUUUUGGCUACAUUUCUCAAUUGAAAUUAACAAGCCUGUUCGAGCUUUGUUAUAUGCAUUGAGAAACUCAGUUCAGAAUCAAAAAUUAGACCGAGAUAUCUGGGACAGGGAUUUGACUGUAAAGCCAAUGACCCAAGUUUCUUCCUUAGGUCACUGGCAACACGUUGAGGGCCCAAGACCAAGACUUCUGUCUUUACCUCAUUUAAUUUGAGAAAAUUACAGCUCAUCCAAUCUUUGAUUUCUUAAAUGCAUUCAGUAAGGCAACCUAACCUACUGAAAUCAUUCUUCUUUACAGAGAGAUAGAGCUGUGUAUCGUCCGCAUAUAAAUGAUAACAUGUGUUAAAACGACGAAUCAAGUUCCCUAAGGGAAGCAAGUACAAAGAAAAUAAAAUAGGGCCAAGAAUUGACCCUUGUGGAACUCCACAUGGAAGGUCAGCACAAGAAGACAUCUUUCCUCCAACAGACACUCUAAAACUAAUAUUCAUUAAAUAUGAAGUGAACCAAUCCAUCAAAGGCCCAGAAAUUCCAACCCACUGCUGUAGCCUAUUUAUCAAAAUAUUAUGAUCGACAGUAUCAAAGGCUGCACUAAUAUCCAACAAAACCAAAACAGACACUUCUCCUGCAUCAGCAUUGAUCAAGAGCUCAUUUACACUCUAAGAACAAAUGUGUUAUUUUUUCUACACAUCUACUGUGUUGUGAGCACUGUAACACAUUUUGUGCCAAUUCUUUAACACACACAUGUGUAAUAUGACCCCUAGAAAAUUCACACACUUCUGUGUUAACCUCAGAAGAUACAUUUAUACAGAAAAAAAUGGUGAUUGAAUUUUACUUAACCUCUUAACAGGCCAUCGCCUCAGUCUAGUUGGUGGUCAGGAUGGAGGUUUCAGCGAUAUUGAACCAAGACACUGCAAUUUUUCAAGUUCUUGCCCACAUCUACAGGGAUGAGAGAUAAUAUUUAAGGAAGAUUUAUGAUGUUCGCAACACUGAGCAUCUUAAAAUGUAAGAACUCUGAAAUUCAACCCACAGUUUGAAUUUAUUUAUUUAUUGACGUAGAUAGAAUUUAUUGACAUAGAUAGCAAUGUAGACAUCAGUAACUUGGAUAGAUUCCAGCUGUUCUUAUCAUACAAAGAGACUGAAUCGUCCCAGCCUAUGGCCACUGCAGUGUGCCAAGCUCAGCAUACUCAAGAUUCACAAGAGCAUGAAAAACUGAGGUCCCUUUUGGAAAAGAAAGCACGAGACACUGGAUGAACCAGGCACUGUGACAGAAAAAGCAAGAAUAAAGCUUGUUAAAGUGUGUGGAUCUGACCUGGUAAAAAAGCAUGAAUUUUAUCCAACAAGUACUGAAAAAGUGGCUCUAGCAAAGAACAUCAUCGCUGUCCAGGUAGAUGGAAAAGGGGAAGGAUUUGAGCACUUUUAUGAUCCAGAUUUUCAUUCUGGAUUUUUGGUAAUGAGACUGCACAACGUUCGUCGAAAGCUAGAAGAUGGUCAGCGGCGUUAUAGGUCACACAAACGAUGCAGUGAAGAUGGACUUUCUUCGGACAAGGAGGAGGAAGAUGGUAGUGGGACAACUGAGUGGAUCAACUUGAUGAAAAGGUUCAGGUCUUCUACAGACAACAUUUCUUCGAUCAAGCAGCAGUGCAGAAAUCCUUCACCUGGCGCAGAUCAUGGAUAGCCAAACAUUCCCCCUCCCUGUCUGAAAUCUUUGAGGAAUACCAACACUUCUUGGAUAUGCCAUCUCUGGUAGCUUGAUACAGAGUUUGGUAAAAUGUAUGAGGGAAGCGAAGAUUUGUUCUUAAGAAGAUGGGAGGCUACCAUCAUUCCCAAGUUGAAGGCAAUUGCCAUCAUGGAGACAGGUGAUCUUGCAUCUCUUAAGGACAUGGAACACCAGAAUAAAGGCUGGAAGCAGCAUUGCUUCUCUUUGUGAUGACUGUUCUUCACAGACCCACCAGCCCCAGCUAAUCUGUGUUGGAAAUCUGAGGGCUGCCGCAAAGCAACAUGUCAUCUUUGGACAGAGUGACUGAAUUACUAUUUCCCUUGAAGAAGGACUGACAUCUGCUGUGGACAAGCUAUUUAAGCUCUACUGGGUGUGUAACCUGGCCUAUCAAUGUCAGCUAAGCUCCAUGUUCUGCUUCUUUGAACACAUCUAUGACGUGCCUCUCUCAACUAGCCGGAAAGCUAAGGUACUGAACCUCAUUUCGAAGCUUAAAGCAUCACAAUUUACAGCACAUUUGUCCAGAAUGUCGACAGUCACAAUUCACAGAAGUAAAGAAGCUAAUUUGGCAUCUUCGUGAAAUACAUGCAUUGUCAAAGGGACUGAACUUCACUCUCAUUUGCAGCCAGGAUGGUUGUGGUUGGACUUACCACAACAUCAAAUCAUUUACUAAGCAUCUUUACAGAUCACCAGUUAAAAUGUACCACCGUGCACUAUUUGUUACUUCACAUACUGUACUUGGCCAAACAUAUAGAACAGGUAGUGUGCUGCCACUUAAAACCAAACACUGUGGAGAAUGUUUGUUUGGUGAGAUAACUCGCAUCAUACCACAGGCUGAUGCUGAGUCCUUUUUGAUGUUUAUCUGGAUUCUUUCAAUUGAGUACUUUGAUGAGCAUUUUUAUGCAUAUGUCAAGCGAACUAAUGACUAAUGAUCAGCUUGGAUGAUGCUUCAGAUGUUAGGCCUCUUGAUGUACUAGCCAUUUCCAACACAGACAAGCUGUACUUGAAUCCAAGAUCCAAAUUGUUUAGCCUCAUGUUUUGUAGUUCUGUUUUUAUAAAAAGGGAAUUUUACUUCUGUACUGAUGUUCAAUGUUAAAUUCAUCAGGUUUUGUAAAAAUACGUGAGAACAGUGAACAAUUGUGACUAAUUUUAUAUGAGCUAUGUUUUAUACAUCCCUUUACUGUUUGGACUUUUGUUUUUAGGUGUUCAUUACUUAUCACAAAAGACAAUGAAUUAGUUACAAGCAUGCAUGUUUUUACAUUUAAAAUAUCUAAAAAACAUUGUUUUUUUUGUGUUAAUUUAUUACUUAUUCCAAAUGAAAAUAAUUUUGAACUGUAAAAAACAUAACUGAUUUUACAUUUAAAAUGUUACAAACACGUGAAUGUUAAUUCAUCGCUAAUUCCAAAAGAAAAUUGAACCAUAU